rnacentral:lncRNA from 1 species
UCUUGUUUCAACAGCCGGUGGGCCACGUGGUCAAAGGCGUUUAGCAGCUCGGGCCAGGAAGAGACGUUCAUCUCAAAGGAAGGGUUAGCCUCAUUAUGUGAAGCUUGGGCUCUUGAUGAUCCUUGUUGGUGAGAGAAAUGAUCAUCUAGGUCGAAUGCGCCUUCUGGAGGGCGACCCUCAACAUUACGCUUCUUUCGUACCGGUAAGUUGGUGGUGUGCUCAGAAUCACCAACAAUUGGUUUGGUGCUAGGUUUUAAGGAAGCCUCCCUCAGUCGGCGAGCCAUUUCAGCUUUAGUAAGAAGCAUGGCGUUAUCUGAAAAGGAAAGUAUUAAUG